GGAUUAGAUACCCUGGUAGUCCAUGCCGUAAACGAUGAUUACUAGCUAUUAGCGAUAAACUGUUAGUGGCAAAGCGAAAGCAUUAAGUAAUCCACCUGGGAAGUACGGUCGCAAGAUUGAAACUCAAAGGAAUUGACGGGGGCCCGCACAAGCGGUGGAGCAUGUGGUUUAAUUCGAUGAUACGCGAGGAACCUUACCAGGGCUUAAAUGCAUAUUGACAGGACUGGAAACAGUUUUUUCUUCGGACAAUUUGCAAGGUGCUGCAUGGUUGUCGUCAGCUCGUGUCG
rnacentral:rRNA from 1 species